rnacentral:rRNA from 1 species
AGCAGCCGCGGUAAUUCCAGCUCCAAUAGCGUAUAUUAAAGUUGUUGCAGUUAAAAAGCUCGUAGUUGAAUUUCGGGAUCAAUUAAUUGGUCGUGCCUCUGGUACGUACUGAUUUUAUUGGUUUCUCCCUUCUGACGAACCAUGAUGUCAUUAAUUUGGUGUCGUGGAGAAUCAGGACUGUUACUUUGAAAAAAUUAAGAGUGUUUAAAGCAAGCUGACGCUUGAAUACAUUAGCAUGGAAUAAUGAAAUAGGACGUUUGAUUCCUAUUUUGUUGGUUUCUAGGAUCGACGUAAUGAUUAAUAGGGAUAGUUGGGGGCAUUAGUAUUCAAUUGUCAGAGGUGAAAUUCUUGGAUUUAUUGAAGACUAACUACUGCGAAAGCAUUUGCCAAGGAUGUUUUCAUUAAUCAAGAACGAAAGUUGGGGAUCGAAGACGAUCAGAUACCGUCGUAGUCUUAACCAUUAAACUAUGCCGACUACGGGAUCGGACGAUUGUUAAUUUUUANGUACUCAUUCGGCUAC